rnacentral:rRNA from 1 species
UACGUAGGGGGCAAGCGUUGUCCGGAAUUAUUGGGCGUAAAGAGCUCGUAGGCGGUUUGUCGCGUCGGCUGUGAAAACCUGGGGCUCAACCCCGGGCCUGCAGUCGAUACGGGCAAACUAGAGUGCGGUAGGGGAGACUGGAAUUCCUGGUGUAGCGGUGAAAUGCGCAGAUAUCAGGAGGAACACCGGUGGUGUAAACGGCUUUCUGGACCAUAACUGACGCUGAGGCACGAAAGCGUGGGUAGCAAACAGG